rnacentral:rRNA from 1 species
UGCAAAACCUAAAGGCGUAAUGAACGUGAAGGCAGGCUUGCUUGUCGAUAUGAGAUCCCCAACAUUGUUGAGGCGCAUCAUAGUCCCUUCUCACCUGCAUUGCCAGAGAGGAGGAGAUAGAGCGUACUUGUUGGGACCCGAAAGAUGGUGAACUAUGCCUGAGCAGGAUGAAGCCAGAGGAAACUCUGGUGGAGGUCCGUAGGGGUUCUGACGUGCAAAUCGAUCUUAAGACUUGGGUAUAGGGGCGAAAGACUAAUCGAACCAUCUAGUAGCUGGUUCCUUCCGACUGA